rnacentral:rRNA from 1 species
AACUCCUACGGGAGGCAGCAGUGGGGAAUCUUCCACAAUGGGCGAAAGCCUGAUGGAGCAACGCCGCGUGAAGGAUGAAGGCCUUCGGGUUGUAAACUUCUUUUAUGAGUGAAGAAUAUGACGGUAACUCAUGAAUAAGCACCGGCUAACUACGUGCCAGCAGCCGCGGUCAUACGUAGGGUGCAAGCAUUAUCCGGAGUGACUGGGCGUAAAGAGUUGCGUAGGCGGUUUAAUAAGUGAAUAGUGAAACCUGGUGGCUCAACCAUACAGACUAUUAUUCAAACUGU